rnacentral:rRNA from 1 species
UACGUAGGGGGCGAGCGUUGUCCGGAUUUAUUGGGCGUAAAGAGCUCGUAGGCGGUUCGAUAAGUCGGAUGUGAAAUCUCCACGCUCAACGUGGAGGGGCCAUUCGAUACUGUCGUGACUCGAGUCCGGUAGGGGAGUGUGGAAUUCCCGGUGUAGCGGUGAAAUGCGCAGAGAUCGGGAGGAACAUCAGUUGCGAAGGCGGCUCUCUGGACCAGCACUGACACUGAGGCACGAAAGCGUGGGGAGCAAACAGG